GCGAUUGGCACGGUAAGAGUAUACGAGUAUGGGAUCAGUUGCAGCGAGGGGAGUGGAUGCUCUGGCUCUAUUCCUAUUUGGAUAUCGGCCCAGUCAGCAGACAGUACACAACGAAGAGCGGUUCCCUACUUCACUGUCAUUCUCCACUCAGCUCAGCAGCUGCCAAGCAACCAGGCUACAUACAGUACACUACAAACCAGGAGAUGCAAGACCACCAACACCAGGAACAUCUGGGACCAGGCUACAUAAACACACCUUUAGAUCUGUAGGAAUGCUGUGAUGUCGAUGGGUGUAGAGGUGUCUGAUUGGCCCAUGUCUUUCACCAGUCACCUACUGACAACGCCUGGUAUUGUUGAAGAUUUGUGAAAAUGUGCCUGUAUGUGAGUACGUACAGUGUCUGUUAGUAUGUUAUAUGCUUGUCUUCGUGUGUAAAGCAUGAAGUGUGUGUGUUGCCACAAUCAGGCAUAAAGAGCAUUGCUUUGUAGUACAACGUAGUAGCCUACAUCAGGCAAUUAAGAGUCUACCUGCUUUAACUACAGGCAAAAUAAACUAAAUCUAAUGCAAAUUGAUGCAAGCUUUUCCUAGCUGAUAUAGGAAACUUGGCAACUGCCCAGUAUGAAAACUGGUUCAGAUGUGUGUGCAUGGAUCUGACACCAGAGGUUGCCUGGGGCAACAUUAGGUAUAAAUAACUAAGGUCAGACAAGAAAAAAAAUGAUUUUCCUCCUAGGCAAUGAGAUAAUUAGUUGUCAAGCUGCAUUAUGGGUAAUUAAUGUGGAAAAGUUUUAUUACAUAUGAAACAAACCAACACCAUAACAACAUGUUAAUUGUUAUACUUCCAACUGUUGCAAUGAAUCAGACUAACAUGGAUAGCAUGUUUGACUGAAUCAAAGUAAACCUGAAUUAAAAA